rnacentral:rRNA from 1 species
AUGGGAUUUCGGGACCUACGACAAUUUAAUCUAGCGCUUCUCGGGAAGCAUGGCUGGAGGUUCCUAACAAAACCGGACGCUCUCUGCACCAGUGUGAUGAAGGGAAGGUAUUUCCCAGAUUGUGAUUUCAUGCAAGUGCCAACACCCAAGUCUGCCUCCGCCACCUGGCAGGCCAUCAUCGCGGGGCGUGCAGCCCUAAGUGUUGGACUUAUAAAGCGCAUUGGUGUUGGGGUUACUACAUCGGCUUGGGAAGACUGA